AGAUGAGGUGGCCGAGUGGUGAAGGUGAUGGACUGCUAAUUCAUUGUGCUCUACAUGCGUGGGUUCGAAUCCCACUCUCGCUG